AGGGUUUGAUUAUGGCUCAGGAUGAACGCUGGCGGCGUGCUUAACACAUGCAAGUCGAACGAAGCACCCUCACGGAUUUUCUUCGGAACUGAAGUGAUCGUGACUGAGUGGCGGACGGGUGAGUAACGCGUGGGUAACCUGCCCCAUACAGGGGGAUAACAGCCGGAAACGGCUGCUAAUACCGCAUAAGCGCACGGUGCCGCAUGGCACAGUGUGAAAAACUCCGGUGGUAUGGGAUGGACCCGCGUCUGAUUAGCCAGUUGGUGGGGUAACGGCCCACCAAAGCGACGAUCAGUAGCCGGCCUGAGAGGGCGACCGGCCACAUUGGGACUGAGACACGGCCCAG
rnacentral:rRNA from 1 species